rnacentral:misc_RNA from 1 species
GAUGAAGAACGCAGCGAAAUGCGAUAAGUAGUGUGAAUUGCAGAAUUCCGUGAAUCAUCGAAUCUUUGAACGCACAUUGCGCCUUCUGGUAUUCCGGAAGGCAUGCCUGUUCGAGAGUCAUUAACAACCGUUUCGAUCCCUUUCUUUCAGAAAUUACAAAGAGGAAAAGGGUUUGGUUAUGGUGGAGGAGGGAAAGGGAGCGUUUAGCCUGUAAAAAAAGAGGCUGUGUUCCGCCUCCCCCCCAAAAUUGUACAGGCGGUCGUGUGCGCCCACGCAUCGAGGUGUUGUAAAAGCUGCCACGGCACUUUUCACCUGUGCAGUGCGAGAUUGGCCAGCCGGUUUAAAAACCCCUCCAAACAAUCAAAGGUUGACCUCGGAUCAGGUAGGGAUACCCGCUGAACUUAAGCAUAUCAAAAGCGGAGG